rnacentral:tRNA from 1 species
GCCUCGGUGGCUUAGGGGUGUAGCGCGUCCUUGGUAGAGGACGAGGUCGGGGGUUCAAAUCCCCCCCGAGGCU